rnacentral:rRNA from 1 species
ACGGCGAGUGAAGCGGUAACAGCUCAAAUUUGAAAUCUGGCUCCUUCGGAGUCCGAGUUGUAAUUUGUAGAAGAUGCUUUGGGUUGUGGGCCCGGCCUAAGUUCCUUGGAACAGGACGUCAUAGAGGGUGAGAAUCCCGUAUGCGGCCAUGGCCCGCGCCUCUGUAAAGCUCUUUCGACGAGUCGAGUUGUUUGGGAAUGCAGCUCAAAAUGGGUGGUAAAUUUCAUCUAAAGCUAAAUAUGGGCCAGAGACCGAUAGCGCACAAGUAGAGUGAUCGAAAGAUGAAAAGCACUUUGGAAAGAGAGUUAAACAGUACGUGAAAUUGUUGAAAGGGAAGCGCUUGCAACCAGACUUGGGCGCUGCCGAUCACCCCGAGUUCUCUCGGGUGCACUCGACAGCGCACAGGCCAGCAUCGGUUCGGGUGGCUGGAGAAAGGCCGGAGGAAUGUAGCUCCCCUCGGGGAGUGUUAUAGCCUACGGCGCCAUGCAGCCCAGCCGGACCGAGGACCGCGCCUUCGGGCUAGGAUGCUGGCGUAAUGGUUGUAAGCGACCCGUCUUGAAACACGGACCAAGGAGUCUAACAUCUAUGCGAGUGUUUGGGCGUUAAACCCAUACGCGGAAUGAAAGUGAACGUAGGUGAGAACCCCCGUUGGGGGCGCAUCAUCGACCGAUCCUGAUGUCUUCGGAUGGAUUUGAGUAAGAGCAUAGC